rnacentral:misc_RNA from 1 species
AACGGUCUAUACCUGCGGUACCUGCGGAAGGAUCAUUAGAGAGAACAUGCCCCCGGGCAUAUCUCCCACCCUCUGUUUACAACGCCUCUGUUGCUUUGGCAGGCCUGUCUCUUAGACUGCUAGCUGUUGCUGGCCUGUGCCUGCCAGAGGACCCCCAUAACUCUUUUAAUAUUGUGUCUGAAAAACUACAUAAAUAGUCAAAACUUUCAACAACGGAUCUCUAGAUCGGAAGAGCACACG